GGAGGAGUGGCUGAGCGGACUAAAGCGGCGGUCUUGAAAACCGUUGUACCCUCUGGGUACCGUGGGUUCGAAUCCUACCUCCUCCGCCA
rnacentral:tRNA from 1 species